UUCGCCCUAGUAGGGAGUUUACGAUGUACGACGCGGUCAGCUCGACGACGUCGAGUCAAAUUAUGCUUGAAAUAAGCCACAGGAAUUUAACUAUACUGCUUUAAUUGUCUAAAGCAUGUUUUAAUAAUCUUACAAAUGUUUAAAUUGGCCUAAACUACUCCGAUGUUUAGCUGAUGUUGCCAUUCCGCCAACGUUAUAAAACAGCUCCCAUGUCGCAACGAGCUUUGACAUCGCUAGGAAGCCGUGAAAAUUACUCGUUUCACGGUGUCCCAAGAAUGGCAACGCUGUUGACAAAACAUUUGAAUCUACAAAUUAUUCAUCCCUUUUGUCUCGCAUGACGUGUUUCUUUGUCUUGCAAGCGCGUCGUCGAGCUGGCCGCGUCGUGAAUCGUAAACUCUCUAC